GACGAACGCUGGCGGCGUGCCUAACACAUGCAAGUCGAGCGAGAAAGUCUCCUUCGGGAGGCGAGUAAAGCGGCGAACGGGUGAGUAACACGUGAGCGAUCUACCCGACGGCGGGGGAUAACCCAGGGAAACCUGAGCUAAUACCGCGUACAGCACCGGCUUGGAAGCCGGAUGUGAAAGCUGGCCUCUCGAAGAAGCUGGCACCAUCGGAUGAGCUCGCGGCCUAUCAGCUAGUUGGUGGGGUAACGGCCUACCAAGGCAAUGACGGGUAGCUGGCGUGAGAGCGUGGCCAGCCACACUGGGACUGAGACACGGCCCAG
rnacentral:rRNA from 1 species